rnacentral:snRNA from 1 species
CUUCUAACAAGCACAUAUACUAAAAUUGGAACAAUACAGAGAAGAUUAGCAUGGCCUCUGCCCAGGAUGACACCCAAUUCAUGAAGCAUUCCUUAAAAAA